rnacentral:rRNA from 1 species
AUACAUGCAAGUAGAANNCGCUGAAGAGAGGAGCUUGCUCUUCUUGGAUGAGUUGCGAACGGGUGAGUAACGCGUAGGUAACCUGCCUUAUAGCGGGGGAUAACUAUUGGAAACGAUAGCUAAUACCGCAUAACAAUGGGUGACUCAUGUCAUUUAUUUGAAAGGGGCAAAUGCUCCACUACAAGAUGGACCUGCGUUGUAUUAGCUAGUAGGUGAGGUAACGGCUCACCUAGGCGACGAUACAUAGCCGACCUGAGAGGGUGAUCGGCCACACUGGGACUGAGACACGGCCCAGACUCCUACGGGAGGCAGCAGUAGGGAAUCUUCGGCAAUGGGGGCAACCCUGACCGAGCAACGCCGCGUGAGUGAAGAAGGUUUUCGGAUCGUAAAGCUCUGUUGUAAGUCAAGAACGAGUGUGAGAGUGGAAAGUUCACACUGUGACGGUAGCUUACCAGAAAGGGACGGCUAACUACGUGCCAGCAGCCGCGGUAAUACGUAGGUCCCGAGCGUUGUCCGGAUUUAUUGGGCGUAAAGCGAGCGCAGGCGGUUUGAUAAGUCUGAAGUUAAAGGCUGUGGCUCAACCAUAGUUCGCUUUGGAAACUGUCAAAC